rnacentral:rRNA from 1 species
GACGAACGCUGGCGGCGUGCUUAACACAUGCAAGUCGAACGGAAAGGCCCUGCUUUUGUGGGGUGCUCGAGUGGCGAACGGGUGGGUAACACGUGAGUAACCUGCCCUUGACUUUGGGAUAACUUCAGGAAACUGGGGCUAAUACCGGAUAGGAGCUCCUGCUGCAUGGUGGGGGUUGGAAAGUUUCGGCGGUUGGGGAUGGACUCGCGGCUUAUCAGCUUGUUGGUGGGGUAGUGGCUUACCAAGGCUUUGACGGGUAGCCGGCCUGAGAGGGUGACCGGCCACAUUGGGACUGAGAUACGGCCCAGACUCCUACGGGGGGCAGCAGUGGGGAAUAUUGCACAAUGGGCGGAAGCCUGAUGCAGCAACGCCGCGUGCGGGAUGACGGCCUUCGGGUUGUAAACCGCUUUCGCCUGUGACGAAGCGUGAGUGACGGUAAUGGGUAAAGAAGCACCGGCUAACUACGUGCCAGCAGCCGCGGUGAUACGUAGGGUGCGAGCGUUGUCCGGAUUUAUUGGGCGUAAAGGGCUCGUAGGUGGUUGAUCGCGUCGGAAGUGUAAUCUUGGGGCUUAACCCUGAGCGUGCUUUCGAUACGGGCUGACUUGAGGAAGGUAGGGGAGAAUGGAUUUCCUGGUGGAGCGGUGGAAUGCGCAGAUAUCAGGAGGAACACCAGUGGCGAAGGCGGUUCUCUGGGCCUUUCCUGACGCUGAGGAGCGAAAGCGUGGGGAGCGAACAGGCUUAGAUACCCUGGUAGUCCACGCUGUAAACGGUGGGUACUAGGUGUGGGGUCCAUUCCACGGGUUCCGUGCCGUAGCUAACGCUUUAAGUACCCCGCCUGGGGAGUACGGCCGCAAGGCUAAAACUCAAAGGAAUUGACGGGGCCCCGCACAAGCGGCGGAGCAUGCGGAUUAAUUCGAUGCAACGCGUAGAACCUUACCUGGGUUUGACAUGGAUCGGGAGUGCUCAGAGAUGGGUGUGCCUCUUUUGGGGUCGGUUCACAGGUGGUGCAUGGCUGUCGUCAGCUCGUGUCGUGAGAUGUUGGGUUAAGUCCCGCAACGAGCGCAACCCUUGUUCACUGUUGCCAGCACGUUAUGGUGGGGACUCAGUGGAGACCGCCGGGGUCAACUCGGAGGAAGGUGGGGAUGACGUCAAGUCAUCAUGCCCCUUAUGUCCAGGGCUUCACGCAUGCUACAAUGGCUGGUACAGAGAGUGGCGAGCCUGUGAGGGUGAGCGAAUCUCGGAAAGCCGGUCUCAGUUCGGAUUGGGGUCUGCAACUCGACCUCAUGAAGUCGGAGUCGCUAGUAAUCGCAGAUCAGCAACGCUGCGGUGAAUACGUUCCCGGGGCU